CCGAGACUCUGGGAUUUACACCUGCUACCUGAACGCCGACUUCGAUGACGUCACAGAGAAAUGGAGACUUCAAAUGAAAGAACAAUUUGUUCUGAACGUUACGAUUGGAGGAAAUGACAAUCCGUCAGGAAACAUACUUUUUGUCGCGACGCCUCCAUAUGCUGAACUCGCUCCAACCGGACCGGACCAAACCAUUAGAUUGGCUGUGACACUUUCAGUCGCUGCUGUAUUUGUGGC